UACAGAGGUCUCAAGCGUUGUUCGGAUUCAUUGGGCGUAAAGGGUGCGUAGGCGGCGCGGUAAGUCGGGUGUGAAAUCUCGGAGCUUAACUCCGAAACUGCAUUCGAUACUGCCGUGCUUGAGGACUGGAGAGGAGACUGGAAUUUACGGUGUAGCGGUGGAAAUGCGUAGAUAAUCGUAAGGAAGACCAGUGGCGAAGGCGGGUCUCUGGACAGGUUCCUGACGCUGAGGCACGAAGGUCAGGGGAGCAAACGGG
rnacentral:rRNA from 1 species